rnacentral:rRNA from 1 species
UCGCCUGUUUAACAAAAACAUAGUUAAAUAAACUUUAAUGUUUUCUGCUCACUGAAAUUUUUUUAUAGCUUCAAAACUAAGGUAGCAUAAUAACUAGUCAAGUAAUUCUUGACUCGGAUGAAGAAAAAACUGAGAAAAUUUUUCUUUAAAUAAUUUCUGAAUUUUAAUUUUAAGUGAAAAUUCUUAAAUAGAUCUUUAAGACGAUAAGACCCUAAAAUCUUUAUAAAAUUUUGUUGGGACAACAAUUAAAUUUUCAAUAAUAAAAAUAUUUAUAAGUUAAAAAUGAACCUCAAUUAGGUUUUAAAAUAAAGAUCCUUUAGGGAUAACAGCAUAAUUCCUUUAAAGAGCCCUUAUCGAUAAAGAGAAUAUGACCUCGAUGUUGAAUUAAGAAAAUAAAAUUGCAAAAAAUGAAAAAUUAAUUGUCUGUUCGACAAUAAUAUUCUUACAUGAUUUGAGUUAAAAUCGACGUGAGCCAGGUUGGUUUCUAU